GUUAGCUCAGCUGGCAGAGCACUUGACUUUUAAUCAAGGUGUCGAGGGUUCGAUUCCCUCAC
rnacentral:tRNA from 1 species